rnacentral:rRNA from 1 species
AACCCCUAUUGUUAGUUGCCAUCAUUCAGUUGGGCACUCUAGCGAGACUGCCGGUAAUAACCGGAGGAAGUGGGGAUGACGUCAAAUCAUCAUGCCCCUUAUGACCUGGGCUACACACGUGCUACAAUGGUUGGUACAACGAGUUGCGAGUCGGUGACGGCGAGCUAAUCUCUUAAAGCCAAUCUCAGUUCGGAUUGUAGGCUGCAACUCGCCUACAUGAAGUCGGAAUCGCUAGUAAUCGCGGAUCAGCACGCCGCGGUGAAUACGUUCCCGGGCCUU